GUUCCUGUGACAAGGCUUUACUCACAAUAGUAGCAAUUGAUCAGAGACAAACCCAUGAUUGCAGAGUUCAAGACCAGAUGGCCAGGACUGUUCACUGUGCCUGAGGUGGAAGCAGUAUUUCUGAGGAUUACCACUGUUCCCCUCGUCACAACAUUUUUUUGCGCAACUUGACCACCACGCUGAUCAGCUCAUCAGAGUGCUGAAGAAGACAGGUGGAUCUAAAGGAAAGAAAAUUAACCUCACCUUUGCCGCGACUGCACAGAAUGAAACUGUUGAAAAGAAGAGGGAGUGCCUCCUCAGGGCACUUUGUAUCUAUCUAAAUGGAGAUCCGA